CCUGCCUCUAGGCUUGCGGAACCAACUGCUGGGAGGCAGCUGGGUUUGCAGAGAGGCCGGUGGUCAGCAGCACCUGUUACAUAGACAUCGGAGAAACUGGAGGCAUGAGACCAAAAAGAAAAUUCAUUAUAACAGCCCUUGCAAGAGCUCAUGUGAAACCAAACUGGAGUAAUGAGAGUGCCACCACUCAAGAAGAGAGAACAGGAGGCUAUCAGUCCCUUCUUGGAACGGUUCUUCAAAAUUUACAGUAUGGAAAGCCCAGCGGUGAUGUUCAAGCCUCUACUGAGAAAACAGCAAGGGCUUUGGAUCAGGACAGACCUGGAGCAUGGCAGCAAUUGGACAGGAACCUAAGAGAAGGCCUCAUUAUCAUCUCCACAAAACCCUGCUUCACUUUUUCUCAGUUAAUGGCUUCAACGACCAUCCAAGCUCCUGAGACAGCUACCUCAGAGCCACUGUGGACCCUUCUCAUUAUCUUACGCCCACAUGCAACCCACUUUUGAAGCAUCUCUACAAAAGCCUUAUAGUCCCCACAGCCAUGAUCUCAAACCAGAGUUUCUCAACCUCACUGCGACUGACACUUUGAACUGGCUAAUCCUUUGUUGUGGGGGCUGUCCUAAUCCUUUUGGAUGUAUAGCAGCAUCCCUGGCCUCUACCCACUGGAUAGCACUCCCAAAGAGUGUAAUAAAAAAACGUCCCCAGAUAUUGCCAAAUGUCCUCUUGGGAGAUAAAAUUGCCCCCAGUUAAGAAUCACUGCCUUAAACUAGAAUCUGGAGAUUAUUGUGAUAGCCUUUUACCUGAGGCCUCUUUCAUCUUCCUGUUGUUUGCAUGACUGAGUUUAAUCUCUGUAAUAGUGCAUGUGAGGGUUUUGA
rnacentral:lncRNA from 1 species